rnacentral:rRNA from 1 species
AGUGAACGCUGGCGGUAGGCCUAACACAUGCAAGUCGAACGGCAGCACAGGAGAGCUUGCUCUCUGGGUGGCGAGUGGCGGACGGGUGAGGAAUACAUCGGACUCUACUUUUUCGUGGGGGAUAACGUAGGGAAACUUACGCUAAUACCGCAUACGACCUACGGGUGAAAGCAGGGGAUCUUCGGACCUUGCUCGAUUGAAUGCGGCGAUGUCGGAUUAGCUAGUUGGCGGGGUAAAGGCCCACCAAGGCGACGAUCCGUAGCUGGUCUGAGAGGAUGAUCAGCCACACUGGAACUGAGACACGGUCCAGACUCCUACGGGAGGCAGCAGUGGGGAAUAUUGGACAAUGGGCGCAAGCCUGAUCCAGCCAUACCGCGUGGGUGAAGAAGGCCUUCGGGUUGUAAAGCCCUUUUGUUGGGAAAGAAAUCCAGCUGGCUAAUACCCGGUUGGGAUGACGGUACCCAAAGAAUAAGCACCGGCUAACUUCGUGCCAGCCGCCGCAGUAA